UUAACUUUUUAUAAUAGAUUUGUUCGUGUGAAUUUUAUGGUAGUAAAUGAUAAAAAUAGACUAGUAUCUACAUAUUUUUAUAUAUUCUUGACACCUUUUUCUUAAUUCGGUCAAUAUUUUUAGGCUACAUUGUUUGAGUUUUUUCAAAUUGUGGUGUGUUCAAGGGUCAAUUGUAGUUGGUCAGUUCCUGUCCUAGACUGUCAUUUUCAUUUAUGUAUGGUAUCUGUCUGGUUCACUACAGAAUCCCUAGUGUCUGGCUUGUAUUAGGCCCUCAAUAAAUUAUUGAAUGAAUGAAUCAGUGAAUGUUCAUAAUGGCAUAUUGGAAAAAAAAUUGAAGGUAAAAGAUUAGAAACUAAAUGUAUCUUUCAGAAAACUUAAAUUUUCUUUUCUUAUCAGGUGACCAUGACCAAAAUCAUGUAUUUCUUAUUCUCUAAUUUCCUAGUCUGUCAAAUGGCAGUAUUGACUGCUUUGUGUGCCUGGCUAUUUGGGAUUAAGUACCAAUAAAUAAAUUUGAAAAACAACAAAAAUCAAAACAUCACAUCCCUUUCUACAUGAGUUCACAGUUUACGUCUGGAACAGGCACAUGAGCAUGAGAUAAAAUGAUAAGUACUGCAUGUGAAAACACUUAGACUUAUGAAGUGCUUCUGUAAGAUACAUUUUUAAAAUGGUUAAAGUCAGUUGAAGAUUUGUUAAAAUCAUCAAGAUACUGCAAUGUGUGAAAAGUUUCAUAAAAAUUAUCUUUUUCUUGGUCUUGUUUCCAUUUUGGUAAUGGUGGAAGUAAAAAUGGAGAGUGGCAGAUGCACUAAUUACCUCAGAUGUUUUCCUUCCUCUCAACUUCCCAGUUGUCAAACAAAAAGCUGGACAGCAUACAAAACUUUUGGACUUAGAAUCUUACAAUAUUCUGACCUUGUGUGGUUUGCCAGCCUAUGACUGAUCAUCACAUAUGACCACUGUUUUGCUUUCUAGCCAGUGACUUUGUGAACAAAGCAUAGCAGUACAGAUAUCCUCAAAUACCCUCACUCACGUACCUUGAAGAGGUCACUUGGGUAGUAAACCCUAUUGGUUCUUGCGCCACUAACACAAGAGCAAUUGAGACCCUAAACUGUGUUUGCCUCAGCAACAGAAUCCAGUAGUAAAAACUCAGCCAAAAGACCAGCAGUAAGAAAAGUAGUCAAGGUCAGGGCCAAACUAUCUGCUGGAGUGAAACAUUGAAAGCUUCCAAUGAGGCUUUAAUUAGACUGAAAAAACAGCUCGCUGUUAAACUGUUUUGUGUUUCCCAUGCAUAAUUUACUCCCAUGCAUUUUUAAUUCUCUCAGUGAUCAAACGUCUUCUGGAAAAGUGCUAACUUCCUGGAGAGGUAGCACAAACACUGUUACGUUUUGUUAAUUUUUCAUUUCAUUUAUUUAAUAAACAGUUUGACUGUUACAAUCUGCAAGAAAUAACAUUAAGGCAUCUCCUAUUUUGGUUCUAAAACCAUGGCUCUUGUGCUGACUUCCAUUUAGUCUUCUGAGACUGGGAGAACAAUGCCAGAUUGAUUCAUUUUGUUUUUAAUUGUUGUAUAGACCAUUGAGGGGUGAGGAGAAUGUUGUUUGAAUUUGACAUUUUGAACUGGGAAACAGCUUGGAAACGUAGGCACAAUUCCAGGUAAAUAAGCUAAGUAUACUUAUGUGUGUAUGUAUAUGUAAGUCUAAUUGCUUAAAGGUAUACCUCUAAGAUUCCAAAUUGAUUGAUGCUAGAAGGCAGCUGUUUAAGGACCAGAGGCAUGGCUUAUGUACAAAGUGAUAUGGAAAAAAAUAUAAUUGGAUCAUAGAAAGACAGUGUUAUUUAAUCAGGAUUUGAAAUCUGGCAGCUCUCCUAGGAGAAUAAAAUACUAUUGGAUUGCGUUUAUUUGUGGACAUCUUUUAUCUUGCCUCUACAUUGCCCUUAGGCACUGUAACUCCUGGAACAGAAGGCAUAAUAAUAGUUACUUGGUAGAUACCUACUUGUUCACUGUCCAUUCAUUCAUGCAGGUAGACAGGUGAUGUUUGGGAAGUAUCACAGCUGCAGUCUGGCAGAAAGAACCUGACAGUGAUUCCCUCUUCUUUCCUAGAAUGAGGGAGUAUGGAGCUUUUCAUUUCAUUUUAGAGACAAAUGGUCUGCACAGGAAGGAAACACAUGGGUAGCAGUGUCUUUGUUCAUUUGGCUAACCAGGCCAGAACUGUGGGUCCAUCUCUGCAUACGCCACUUAGUGUUUCUCUACUCCUAACCACAGAUUUGCACUUGAACCUUUGCCAGCUGUUUCCCAAGUGCAUGCCAUUGGAUGUGAGGGAGACCUGAAAUGAGUGCAGAUAGAUCCGCUUAAAAUCAUCACAACUUUUUCAAACAAAACGCAUAAAGCAUGAAGCGCUUAAUGGCAGAUCAGAAGUUUUAUCUUUAUGUAUUCAAAGGUCAAAACAUUUGUAACACAUGCUGCUGUCAGAGUAAAUGCUGUAUGAUAGGAACAAAACUUAAGAAGCCUGUGACAAACUUGAAUAUUGAGACUUUUGUUAUCAUUUUAAUCUAAAAAAUUAAAUUUUUUGCUGACAAGUUAGUAUAACCAGUCCUAGAAAAUAGUGGUUGGAAUGAGAAUGAUCUCAUUGAUUCAGAAAUUGCCAAAGGUCUACAAAACCAGUAUGCCUCCUGUUUUAAUAGAGGACAUAAUUAGAGAACGUUCUUGGUUGUCUAGCUUUCUUGCCCUGGGAUUUGUGCCUAGUUGUUUGAGGAUUUGUAGGACUCAGAUUUCCCUAACAAUCAACAAUCCUUUUUAUUUUCUAUUUUCACUUUUAGUUACCAUCCAUCUAUAAUCAUUUAUAUAAUUUUAAGUGAUCUUGAGAACAACCUUGUAAUAUUAAUCAGGCAUUAGUCUUGAAGUUUACCUGGUUAGUCAUUUGGUAACCUUUUUUUAUCUGACUAUUAGUGACUUAAACAACUCUGAGAAGAACAGUUGACAAUAAAGUGGGAAAAAAAAAGCAUAGACCUAUACUAACAAAAUUAAUUCUAAGAUACUACAUUCUCUUACUAGGAAACAGUGUGAAAGUUUAAAUAUCAUUCAUCAAAGUUUUUUUUUAAAGUUAUACACUUUUUCCCCCCCUUCUAGAGUAUCUAAGGAAAAAAGUAAAAGAACUCUCUUUGGCAUCUCUGGACAGUUGAAUAGACAAGGAAGAACUGUAGUCUUUUUUUUUUUUCAGCUAAAUUACCCUAAGAACACUCUGCUCCAACAUAGGAAUGCCAUGGAACAAGAGAUGGUAACACAAGAUACACCAGGAGACUCGAGGUUUUGUGUGUUUGAAACUUAUAUUCUACUAUAAUGACUAAAUUGCAGAGAAGCAAAACUAAUGUGUGUGUGUUUUUUUAAGAUUUACCCAAUGUUUUUUUGGUUCUGUCUUCUAGGAGUGAACAAACUCCUUUUGUUUUUUGUUUGUUUGUUGUUCUUAAAUGUUCACCCUCAAAUUUUAUAAAACAUUAUAAAAUGAGAAAAAUUUAAAGUUAUACUAUAUUCAAACUUUUAAUGUUUUUAUUAUAUGUAUUUGCUCAAAAUAGAAAUGCCAAAAACAUAUAAAGAUACAAAGUGGUAGGCAGUUUAUGCCCUACAUAACUUAAUUUACAUUGGUAGGACUAUUUUUAUCUUUAAACUUUUAAUUUUCUUAUAAAAAUCAAGUAAAUACAACAAUUAUUAUUAGCUGAAUAGCAGAUGAGAUCUCAGUAUUUAAAAGAACAGAUUUCUUCUUAUAAACUUGCUUUUGAUUUUAAUUCAAGAAUAAUUAUGCUGGGUUCUUACGUAUGACGAGGAAAAAGCAUGCGGUUGUGUGUUUUGGCAUGUGUUCUUCUAGAUUUUUCAGUGAUGCUCAUGAUAAGCAACAAGGAAAACUUAGAUUGUAAAGCCUUCUUCUAUACCAGAUUCUAAUCAUUGCUCUGAGAAAAAUUUCAACACCUAUUUGUUACUUUUGCUUGAAGAUUUUAUGUGUAUACAUGUUGAUGACUUUUAGUGGUGAAUAGGGAUAUGAAAUUCAGUAGAGUAAACUUUUGGAACACAAUCAAAUAAUACCUGCACAAUCUGUGUUUCUUUCCAGCCCUAUUACUGUUGCUUGAAAAAAGAUUUGGGUUUUGGUGUCAGAAUGAUGGUGCCUCAUCAAAUGAGUCAGAUGAUUCAUAAAGGAGCUUGUCAAGUGGCACCUCGAUUCUCUCAGCUUACAAAUUACUUUGCAGUAAUAUAAGCAACAAAACAAAACAAAAACCAGGUAUGUACCAUUUUGUGGGCUAAGAUUUAGCUACAUUUGAUCGUUCUUACUAAAAGUAUAAGAUUUUAAUUAUUAUGUUAUAAACUAUGAAAGUAAUAUUGAAUUGUGAUUGUAAUUGUACUUACCACACAAUGGUUCAAAAAAUAUUGUUCGCUUUCAAUAGUUAGAGCAAUGAAUGUAGUGGCAGAGAGAACAGAGAGAGAUCUAAUUGAUACCUUCUACUCAGGAAAUAAGAAGAAGUGAGUCAUCUGAAGGACUGAUGGGAGAAGAGAAUGUCUUGAUAUUUGCCAAUGAGUUUUCUGAACAGGGCUAUUAGCCACAUUCUAUUUUUCUUUCUGUGCUAUAUCCAGUCACUUACGGUGACACAGAGAACAGGAUAAUAUGGAUAAAAAAAUUCCCAUGGUGCAUCCUCUGCUGUCACUUCAACCAGUGAUGACUUUUUUUUUCUGAACGUCAUUACAAUUUGAAAAAUCAAACUUCUUAGCUUUUGUUUCCCAUCAUAUCCUGUAAUGAGAAGUAAUAAAGAAAAAAAAUUAGAAUUUAACAAGGAAAAGCAUCAACAUCACAGCGCUGGUGAACCUACAGAGAGGCAGCAUGGUAUUACAGCAGGGCACAGAUGUUAGGAUUGGAAAUACAGUAUUUAGGUUCAAAUCCCAGCCUGUCACUUACCAGCUAUUUAGAUAAAUUACUCAAUCCCUAUGAGCCUCAUUUUCUUCACUUUUAAAUUGGAAAAAUAGCACUCAUCAUAAAUUUUGGGUGAGAAUUAAGAUCACAUAAUAGAUUGAAUUCAGUAUUUGGGAAUACAGAACAAGAAAUAGUUGUUAGUAUUGACCGUUAUUAUUUAUAAUUAUACAUUUCUAAAAUUGCUACAGAGUAAUGGAGUUGACCAUAUUUAAGUUUCUAUCAUCCCUUCUAUUUUAACAUUUACUAACUGUAUGACUUUGAGCACAUUAUAUAAUUUCUCUGGCCUUAGUUUUCUUGUCUGUAAAGUGAGGAUAAAUGUAGUAUUACCUAUUUCAUAGUAUCCUUAUAAGGAUUAAAUAAAUUAACACUUCUAAAGCUCUAGAUAGACAGUGCCUGGCACAUGAUAAGUAGGCAAUAAGUGUUAGCUAUUACUGCUACUACUAUUAUUAUUAUUAUCGUUAUUGUUAUUCUCAACCAAAGAUUAACAAAUACUAAUUGAACAAUAUUAUAGUGACAGUGUUGGUAAAAGAAAAGAUUUGUGAGUUAUACUGAAUAUUAAACUGGAGUAUUGAGUCUAAAUUUGUAGAACUAAAUACUCAAAGUAUUUGACUGAUUAAUCAAUGUAUGCAUUAGCAAUUCAGAAAAUGGACUGUGAACUAGACAUUAGGAAUAAUCAGGAAGAGCAAUAGUCAGUAUUUGAGGAGAACUGAAUACAUGGGGGAAAGAAAAGAGUUUUCUAGGCUGGGACAAAUAGAGCAAAGUGCACAUGGAGAAAAACGUGUCCACCAGCAGUAAGAUAGACACAAGAAAUUGCAAAAUAGUAAAGUGAUACAAUGGAUUACUGUACAGCAGAGAAGAUUUACUAAUUAUGCCUACAUGUCAAUGUGAGAAAUCUCACAAACAGAAUAUGGAGUGAAACAUACACAUCACAGGGGAAAAAUGAUA